AAAAAAAAAAAAUCAACAUUCCUUAGCCCAUGGUGUGAGUUUCUGUGGUAAUUCUUCAAGCACCUGGGCCGCCACCCCGCCUACACCCACUCCCCCUCGGCCUUCGACCAUGCCAUCGACAUCGCGGCCCGCAUGCGCGACUACAACUCCGCAUGGGCCCUCCUGGCCCGCAUGCGCUCCCUCCGCCAUGGCCCAAUUCCCCGCACCUUCGCCAUCCUCGCCGAGCGCUACGUCUCCGCCGAAAAGCCCCACCGCGCCGUGAAUCUCUUCCUCUCCAUGCACAACUAUGGUUGCCGCCAGGAUCUUCACUCCUUCAACACCAUCCUCGACAUCCUCUGCAAGUCCAAGCGCGUCGAAAUGGCGCACGACCUCUUCAAAACCCUAAGAAACAAAUUCAACGCCGAUAGCAUUAGUUACAACAUAAUUGCCAACUGUUACUGCAUCGUUAAGCGCACGCCGAUGGCGUAUAACACGAUGAUGAAAGGGUAUUUCAGGAAUAAACAAUUGGAGAGCAUGUUCUGCAUUCUGCUGGACACUGGUGAUGAAUCCACCAUUGCUGAAAAUCUUGCUUUCAGGUUCAUUUGAAUAUUGCAUUUUGAUAUCCUUUUUUCUAUUUGUGUUCUUGAACAAAACAUUAUAUGGUGUGGAUUUCAAUGUUUUAUGGUGCUUAAACUUUACAUGAUUAUUGAGUUUCCUUGAUUCUAAGCUUGGCUUAUUUCAAGUUACAAUGUGAUAUGUUGCUGAAACAGAGUUUGGUUCAAUAAGCAUUUUUCUUCUUGUUAUCCUUGGAUGUGUAUACAUAACACAAGGGCCAUGGACUCUGUUAGUUGGCAAGUAGGAUAUUGCUUAGGUUCAUUUUAAGUAAAUCAAUAUGCGAAAGCCUAGAGAAUCCUCAAUGCUGAGGGCAUUUGCAAAAAUAGGCAGUGAAUUGGUUAAGAGCUCACGAGGCUGACACCGGUUAUCCUGUCUAUGAUUUACUUUUCUAUUAAAAUUUUAGCUGGUGGAUAUGGUAGGUACAUCAUUUAUUAGAGCAUCUACAAUGGGAGUUGCUUAUAAGCAACUUCCAUCCACUUUAAAUGGGUCCCACCAUACCAGGUCACUUAUAAGCAAUUCAUAGUGCUAAACACCAUUCCUUGCUGAAGCAAUGAAGCUAAAAAAAUUGGAACUUUUCUUGCCUCGUAGGAUCACUCCAAUGGCAAAUUCUUGCCUGAAGAUGGGAGAACAUUGGUACUUAUUUGCCUGCUACAACUUUGCCACAUUGGGCUAUACUACAUGAUUGGUUUGACAUUUUUUAGAUGUAGUAUGUUUUUGGGUUUGUCUGUUUAACAUGUGAAGAAAGAUGGGCAUAUGGGUCCUGUUGACUGCCUCUUCGGAAUGUUGGUUCAUUUGCUAAAUGAAAUUGGAUAUUUCUUGCUCUUACAAUUCAAGGGUCUAUCACGGAUGAUCAUGAGUGUUACAGUUCCUUCAAGCAUACUCAGAAUUCACCCGUUGCUUUACAUUAGAGUUCUGCAAAUGAACCAGUGGCAUCAUUCUUUUCUACCUUUUGGUAGUACUCAAUUGUAACUUGGGUUAAGCUUGAUCAAUCAAGUAUUCUGUAAUUUCAGUGCAGGGAUGAAGUCGGGCUAGAUAAUGUAGCUUUAAACACAAUAAUCCACGAAUCAUCUUCCUUGCGUCCCAAUUCAGUCUAGUGUAAAGUCAAAUAUGUACUGUGUUUUGAAAUGAAGAACUCUUUGUAAUUUACCAAAUGUAUUAUUUGAUACAGAGACAUUAUUCUACAGUGACCAAAUUAUGGUAUUUGAUCAAUUAGGUACAAGUUUGCGGAGGGUGAUCACGAACAAUGCAUUAUUUAAUCAGGAGAGCAUGCAUGUCCGAAGUAGCCUCAACGUUGCCUAUUGAAGUCCAUUACUAGCUUGGCAACAUUGCUCUCCCUUUUAUUCAAUUAAUUGUUGAGAGAGCUCUUCCAAUUGGGAAAAAGGAUUACUCCUGGCUUUCAUGUUUUGAUGUGACAUUAGUUGUAGGAUUAGGAAGUUGAGUGAUUUAUAUUUUCUACUUUAAAGAGGUUGUAACAAUAAUAUGGUCAUUUUUUGGGAUAUACUUGUACAUAACUGAAGUGAGAAUAUUUUCUCCGGUUAAAGUCUUUUUCAUUAAGAAUUUGGUCAUUUUUCA